UACGAAGGGGGCUAGCGUUGCUCGGAAUCACUGGGCGUAAAGCGCACGUAGGCGGCUUUUUAAGUCAGGGGUGAAAUCCUGGAGCUCAACUCCAGAACUGCCUUUGAUACUGAGAGGCUUGAGUCCGGGAGAGGUGAGUGGAACUGCGAGUGUAGUGGUGAAAUACGUAGAGAUUGGGAAGAACACCAGUGGCGAAGGCGGCUAUCUGGACGGUUUCUGACGCUAAGACGCGAAAGCGUGGGGAGCAAACAGG
rnacentral:rRNA from 1 species